CUAUCACUCCUACGGGAGGCAGCAGUGAGGAAUAUUGGUCAAUGGAGGGAACUCUGAACCAGCCAUCCCGCGUGUAGGAAGACGGCCUUAUGGGUUGUAAACUACUUUUAUACAGGAAGAAAACGUACCCUCGUGAGGGUGCCUGACGGUACUGUAGGAAUAAGCACCGGCUAACUCCGUGCCAGCAGCCGCGGUAAUACGGAGGGUGCGAGCGUUAUCUGGAUUUAUUGGGUUUAAAGGGUCCGUAGGCGGGGUUAAUAAGUCAGUGGUGAAAUCCCAUCGCUUAACGAUGGAACUGCCAUUGAUACUGUUAGUCUUGAAUGAGGGUGCAGUGGUUGGAAUGUGUAGUGUAGCGGUGAAAUGCAUAGAUAUUACACAGAACACCGAUUGCGAAGGCAGAUCACUAACCCUAAAUUGACGCUGAGGGACGAAAGCGUGGGGAGCGAACAGGAUUAGAUACCCUGGUAG
rnacentral:rRNA from 1 species